rnacentral:rRNA from 1 species
CCUACGGGUGGCAGCAGUAGGGAAUCUUUCACAAUGGGCGAAAGCCUGAUGGAGCAACGCCGCGUGCAGGAUGAAGGCCUUCGGGUUGUAAACUGCUUUUAUAAGCGAGAAAUAUGAUGGUAACUUAUGAAUAAGGAUCGGCUAACUACGUGCCAGCAGCCGCGGUCAUACGUAGGAUCCGAGCAUUAUCCGGAGUGACUGGGUGUAAAGAGUUGCGUAGGUGGCAUAAUAAGUAGCUAGUGAAAUCUGGUGGCUAAACCAUUCAGACUAUUAGCUAAACUGUUAAGCUCGAGACCGGUAGGGGUAACUGGAAUUUCUAGGGUAGGAGUGAAAUCCGUAGAUAUGAGAAGGAACACCAAUAGCGUAGGCAGGUUGCUGGGACGGUUCUGACACCAAGGCACGAAAGCGUAGGGAGCAAACGGGAUUAGAUACCCGAGUAGUC